UAGUUAGUUGGUGAGGUAAAGGCUCACCAAGGCGAUGAUGGUUAGGGGUCCUGAGAGGGUAGUCCCCCACACUGGUACUGAGACACGGACCAGACUCCUACGGGAGGCAGCAGUGAGGAAUAUUGGUCAAUGGGCGCUAGCCUGAACCAGCCAUGCCGCGUGCAGGAAGACGGCCCUACGGGUUGUAAACUGCUUUUCUGCAGGAAGAAUAUAUAGUCUUAGGGCUAUAUUGACGGUACUGCAGGAAUAAGCAUCGGCUAACUCCGUGCCAGCAGCCGCGGUAAUACGGAGGAUGCAAGCGUUAUCCGGAUUCAUUGGGUUUAAAGGGUGCGCAGGCUGUAAAGCAAGUCAGUGGUGAAAGCCCUGGGCUUAACUCAGGGAUUGCCAUUGAAACUGUUUUACUAGAGUGUAGUAGAGGACGGCGGAAUGAGUUGUGUAGCGGUGAAAUGCAUAGAUAUAACUCAGAACACCUAUUGCGUAGGCAGCUGUCUAUACUACAACUGACGCUGAGGCACGAAAGCGUGGGGAGCGAACAGGAUUAGAUACCCUGGUAGUCCACGCUGUAAACGAUGAUCACUCGUUGUUGGCUACUUAGUAGUCAGUGACCAAGGGAAACCGAUAAGUGAUCCACCUGGGGAGUACGUCGGCAACGAUGAAACUCAAAGGAAUUGACGGGGGCCCGCACAAGCGGAGGAACAUGUGGUUUAAUUCGAUGAUACGCGAGGAACCUUACCUGGGCUUAAAUGCUGGCUGCAUUGGAGGGAAACCUUCAUUUCCUACGGGACCGCCAGCAAGGUGCUGCAUGGUUGUCGUCAGCUCGUGCCGUGAGGUGUCGGGUUAAGUCCCAUAACGAGCGCAACCCCUAUCGCUAGUUGCCAGCAUGUAAUGGUGGGGACUCUAGCGAGACUGCCGGUGUAAACCGGAGGAAGCUGGGGAUGACGUCAAAUCAGCACGGCCCUUACGUCCAGGGCUACACACGUGUUACAAUGGCCGGUACAAAGAGCAGCCACCUGGCGACAGGGCGCUAAUCUCUAAAACCGGUCUCAGUUCGGAUCGAAGUCUGCAAUUCGACUUCGUGAAGGUGGAUUCGCUAGUAAUCGCGCAUCAGCCAUGGCGCGCCUGACUAAGUUCCCGGGCCUUGUACACACC
rnacentral:rRNA from 1 species